rnacentral:lncRNA from 1 species
GUCGGUGCGGGACCUGGCCUCCUGCGUCUCCGACGGCGCCGUCCGCGUCGCCUGCACCACCCCGGCGUCCACGUUCACGGUCUCCUCCUCCUCGCCGUCGCCGCCGUCCACGCUCUCCGUCGCCGUCUCCUACCGCGCCACGCCGCAGGUCGCGUCGUCGCCGCCGCUCCUCCUGCGCCUCACCUGGUCGCACUCCCCGCGCGGGCAGCCGACGCUCUCCUUCGCGGGGCCCACGGCGUCGUCGCCCGCCGUCCUCCUCCGGCGCCGCAGGGGCACCUACUGCCUCCCCUCCUCCUCCUCAUCCUCCGCACACGCCCCGCCGCUCGCGAUCUUCUGGGACCUCACAGGCGCCAGGUACGACGGGGCGGGCUCGUCGUCCCCGGAGCCGGUCUCCGGGUUCUACGUGGUGGCCGUGGCCAGCGCCGAGGUGGUGCUGGCCGUGGGCGACCUGGCGGCGGGGUUCGUGAAGGCGAAGCUGGAGGGCCAGAUCCCGCGGGCGCGCUCCAUCCUGGCCGUGUCCCGCGUGGUCGUCGUCGCGGCGGCGGGUCCGGGCGCCGCGGCGCACACGGCGCGGGUGCGGUUCGCGGAGGGCGCGCCGGAGCACGAGGUGGCCGUGGGCUGCUGCCGCGGGCUGGGCGGCCGGCCCGGGGAGGAGGACGAGCUGUGGGUCAGCGUGGACGGCAAGCGCGCCGUGCACGCGCGCCGCCUGCGCUGGAACUUCCGGGGCAACCAGACGGUGUUCGUGGACGGCGCGCCCGUCGACGUGCUCUGGGACCUGCACGGCUGGUGGUUCCGCCGCGACCCGCCGGGCUGCGCCGUCGUGAUGCUCCGCACCAGGAGCGCGCUCGAGAGCAGGCUCUGGCUCGAGGAGGAGGCCAGGGCGCCCGGGUUCGCGCUCCUCGUGCAGGCCUUCAGGACGCCGCCUUGAUCUUUUUUUUGGCCUUGGUGCUUGGUGGUGGUGGUGGAUGCCAUGGAUAAGUUCGUUUGCACUUUGCAGCCCCCUGAUUGUCGAUGAAGUUGAGCAGAUGCUCUGCUGCCAGUGCCUGCUGCUUCAUGUUUUUCCUCUGCCUUUUGACCUGGGGAUCUGGUGCCUGGUGUUUAGCAAUCCAAAUUCGAAUCCAACAGGGCAACGGUUUGCGUUGACAAUUUAGAUGUUUGGGACGACACCAUGGAUUUCUUCAUGUGGUUUAUGGUAUACAACAAAAAAGAGGAGAGAUUGGUUUGUGCUGUUUAGGUCUUGAUCAAGCACUAACUGCUUGCUUUCGAGUACACCUAGAGAAAUUGAUGCUCCGUAUCCGACUGUAUCUUGUUGCUCUUCACUAUUUUGUCUAUUGAUGGUUGCAGCCUGUCAUAAUCAAGGGCCAUUUUGGUUCCAGCAUGUUGUUGUCAUUUGAUCAUGUAAUUUCUGCAGGGGGACACAGUGGAUGUCCCUGUAAUAAAUUAUGGCCACAUGACUGUGUGUGUCUCUGUCAUA